UACGUAGGGUGCGAGCGUUGUCCGGAUUUAUUGGGCGUAAAGGGCUCGUAGGCGGCGUGUCGCGUCGGGGAGUGAAAGCCCGCUGCUUAACGGCGGGUUGGCUUCCGGUACGGGCAUCGCUGGAGUGCGGCAGGGGAGACUGGAAUUCCUGGUGUAGCGGUGGAAUGCGCAGAUAUCAGGAAGAACACCCGUGGCGAAGGCGGCUCUCUGGAACGCAACUGACGCUGAGACGCGAAAGCGUGGGGAGCAAACAGG
rnacentral:rRNA from 1 species